AGCAGCGUGGCUCAGCGCAAAGAGCCUGGGCUUGGGAGUCAGAGGUCAUGGGUUCAAAUCCCAACUCUGUCA
rfam:Ornithorhynchus anatinus chromosome 1, whole genome shotgun sequence.